UCCGCUUUUAUACUUCCAUUCCCAGACUCCUAUAUAGGAAUGAGCAAACGAACCGACCCGGCUUGAACCAGCCCGAACCGGACCCGACUUGGGAACUGAAACCGGCCGAAAUUAAGAACCGAAACCGAUCGUCGGUUCUACCGGUUCUUGUCGUGUCUUCAAUGUUGGAACCGGUCAUCGAGAAAUAGCAAUAUACCGUUCCAGUUUUUUCCGGUUCCUACCAAUUCCUAGUUCUAAAAGUCCACAAGAAUAUCAUCCCGGUCCCGGCCCGAUCGGUUUUAACGGCUUUCGGUUCCAGUACCGGUUCCCCGGUUCAAAUGCUCAUCCCUACUCCUGUAUAUCCAUCGUUUGCAUCUUCUUCUCUCUCAGCGACUCAAUCACAACACUAUGUAUCCCUUAUCUACUUUAAUAUGGAGAUGUAUGCAGUUGGAUCAUCUUCAAGGCACCUAUCAUGAUUGGAAAAAGGUCCACAUGCACAUUUGAUUGUUAAGAUGGUAGACAAUUGUUCAUAAGGUAUAAAGAGGAGAAUCGAUUAUGCCAAGUUCGUCUACAAUCAAGUUUCCUAUUUUUUCUCUAAAUAUUUAGUUUGAUAGUUUCAUAUUUUGAGUGUUACUAGCAC